UACGUAGGGUGCGAGCGUUAAUCGGAAUUACUGGGCGUAAAGGGCGCGUAGGCGGCCGAUCAAGUGUGUGGUGAAAGCCCGGGCUCAACCCCGGGUCUGCCGUGCAAACUGGUUGGCUAGAGCACUGUAGAGGCAGGUGGAAUUCCGGGUGUAGCGGUGGAAUGCGUAGAGAUCCGGAAGAACACCGGUGGCGAAGGCGGCCUGCUGGGCAGUAGCUGACGCUGAGGCGCGACAGCGUGGGGAGCAAACAGG
rnacentral:rRNA from 1 species